GAUGAACGCUGGCGGCGUGCCUAAUACAUGCAAGUCGAGCGGACGGACGAGAAUCUUGCUUCUCUGAUGUUAGCGGCGGACGGGUGAGUAACACGUGGAUAACCUACCUAUAAGACUGGGAUAAGGUCGGGAAACCGGAGCUAAUACCGGAUAAUAUUUUGAACCGCAUGGUUCAAAAGUGAAAGGCGGUCUUGCUUUUACUGAUUGAUGGAUCCGCGCUGCAUUAGCUAGUUGUUAAGGUAACGGCUUACCAAGGCAACGGUGCAUAGCCGACCUGGGAGGGUGAUCGUCCAAACUGGAACUGAGACGCGGUCCAGGCUCCUACGGGAGGCAGAAGUAGGGAAUCUUACGCAAUGGGCGAAAGCCUGACGGAGCAACGCCGAGUGAGUGAUGAAGGUCUUCGGAUCGUAAAACUCUGUUAUUAGGGAAGAACAUAUGUGUAAGUAACUGUGCACAUCUUGACGGUACCUAAUCAGAAAGCCACGGCUAACUACGUG
rnacentral:rRNA from 1 species